AAUCUUCGGAAAUGGGGACAACGCUGACCGAGCAACGCCGCGAGAGUGAAGAAGGAUUUCGGAUCGUAAAGCUCUGUUGUAAGCGAAGUACGUGUGUGAGCGUGGAAAGUUAAAAUAGUGACGGUAACUUACCAGAAAGGGACGGCUAACCACGUGCCAGCAGCCGCGGUAAUACGUAGGUCCCGAGCGUUGUCCGGAUUUAUUGGGCGUAAAGCGAGCGCAGGCGGUUUAAUAAGUCUGAAGUUAAAGGCAGUGGCUUAACCAUUGUUCGCUUUGGAAACUGUUAAACUUGAGUGCAGAAGGGGAGAGUGGAAUUCCAUGUGUAGCGGUGAAAUGCGUAGAUAUAUGGAGGAACACCGGUGGCGAAAGCGGCUCUCUGGUCUGUAACUGACGCUGAGGCUCGAAAGCGUGGGGAGCAAACA
rnacentral:rRNA from 1 species